UGUGUGUGUGUGUGUGUGUGUGUGUGUAUAUAUAUAUAUAUGCGUACACACACACACUCACAGACACACACA
rnacentral:miRNA from 1 species